rnacentral:rRNA from 1 species
CCUACCGGGGGCAGCAGUGGGGAAUAUUGGGCAAUGGGCGCAAGCCUGACCCAGCAAAGCCGCGUGAAGGAAGAAGGCUUUCGGGUUGUAAACUUCUUUUCUCAGGGACGAAGCAAGUGACGGUACCUGAGGAAUAAGCCACGGCGAACGACGUGCCAGCAGCAGCGGUAAUACGUGGGUGGCAAGCUUUAUCCGGAUUUACUGGGUGUAAAGGGCGUGUAGGCGGGACUGCAAGUCAGAUGUGAAAACCACGGGCUCAACCUGUGGCCUGCAUUUGAAACUGUAGUUCUUGAGUACUGGAGAGGCAGACGGAAUUCCUAGUGUAGCGGUGAAAUGCGUAGAUAUUAGGAGGAACACCAGUGGCGAAGGCGGUCUGCUGGACAGCAACUGACGCUGAGGCGCGAAAGCGUGGGGAGCAAACAGGAUUAGAUACCCUUGUAGUC